AGACUCUCAAAUAAAGGUGGCUCUUGCAGCCAUCUCUGUUUGGACUUGGGCUUUGCUGCAUUAAUGUGGCUAGUCUUAAAUCUAUUAGCUGAUCCUUGUUGAGAUUUUGGUUCUACUCAGUGUGAUAAUUAUCUAGCAUUGAGGACAGUCUCAGAACUGGCCAUAGCUCUCUCUGGAUUGCUUCUAAAAGUGUCUUGGGGACAAUUGCUUAAU
rnacentral:misc_RNA from 1 species